ACACUCACUUUGGCAGCACAUAUACUAAAAUUGGAAUGAUACAGAGAAGAUUAGCAUGGCCCCUGAGCAAGGAACAAGUUUGUGAAGCAUUCCAUAUUUUU
rnacentral:snRNA from 1 species